CUUGUAUGUAUGAAUGAUUUGGAAUUUAGCCGGCUUUUCGUCGAAUUUGUGUGACAUUAUUCGACCAAUUUUUUGCACUUCCUUGGAGUGCAAUAAUAUUAACCCGAGAUUGCCUGUCUCCAAAAAGCUUCCCAAUUGGAUUUACCGUUUGCUAAUUGGCAACAGCUGUGCAACAUGCAAAUCUUGAUAAAAUCCGACUUUGGUUUUACAUUCAAAACCUAAUAUGCCAAAUUCAGAUCGCGAUGGCGAUGACAAAGAACAUGAAUAUUAAUAAGUGACAAAG